GACACGCUGGCGGCGUGCCUAACACAUGCAAGUCGAGCGGAGUCGAUCGACGGAAGCCUUCGGGCGGAAGAUGGUUGACUUAGCGGCGGAUGGGUGAGUAACGCGUGGGCAACCUGCCUCGAAGACCGGGAUAACAGCCCGAAAGGGCUGCUAAUACCGGAUGUGGUCAAGGAUCCGCAUGGAUUUUGAUUAAAGGGGAAACCCGUUUCGAGAUGGGCCCGCGUCCUAUCAGCUAGUUGGUGAGGUAAAAGCUCACCAAGGCGACGACGGGUAGCCGGCCUGAGAGGGUGACCGGCCACACUGGAACUGAGACACGGUCCAGACUCCUACGGGGGGCAGCAGUGGGGAAUCUUCCACAAUGGGCGAAAGCCUGAUGGAGCGACGCCGCGUGAGCGAAGAAGGCCUUCGGGUUGUAAAGCUCUGUCUGGAGGGACGAAGGAAGUGACGGUACCUCCGGAGGAAGCCACGGCUAACUACGUG
rnacentral:rRNA from 1 species